AUGGCUGCAUCUGCGCUGAAGAUGGCGGCCAUCUGCACCGUGCUGGUCCUUCUCCUGUGUGGCGCGGGGCAGCCAGCGAUGGCCUACGUCGACGACGGGCUAGCUUGCCCUAGCCCCGGGACGCCAUGCCGUGUAGGAUGCUUAUCUGCGUGCGACACCAGCUCGCGGAAGGUGUGCAACAUGCUCUGCGGCCUCACGCCGUCGGUGCUCGACGGGGCGGACCAGGGUUGUGUGAAUCAAUUCCUCUUCUCUUGCAUGGCCAUCUGCAAGAACUUGUGCGAGCCCCUCCCGGUUAAGACCCCCUGA
rnacentral:rRNA from 1 species